GUGUACUAGCACCGGUGGUGGAAAAUGGGCAAGCUAUGCAUGUGAGCGGGUUCAAGAGGAGUUAAGCAAACAUUCUUCUGUAUUCAUCACCAAACGAGGCCAAAUCGACACAGAAAGAAAAUCGCUGCCGAUUGAACUGUGGGUGAAGCGCGUGACCUAUGGUGGUGCACUGGAGCCAGAUGUUGAAGAAUGGAUCAGUAUGAAUAUGUUUGUGGUCCAGCAAGGCUUGGCAAUCCCGGACCGAACAUUCCAAAAGUACAUUGCUCCUGCAGAAGACUUGCUCCACGAUUUGAAACAAAUGCAGCACGAAAGUUCCAGCAAUAUCAAUAGCAGAUCAUACGUUGUGUCGUGGCUGCAGGACCAGGACGGACAGUCUGGAACAUCGUCCAUGGAGUUGAAAACUAUGCAGGUUAAAAAGAAGAAAAAGAAUACAAGCGCAUUAGUCCAAGAAAUCUCGGUAGAUUGGAAGCCACCUGCACCUCUGGAUGAUCUCGAUUUGGAUAUCAUACCCACCUUUGUGGAUGAAAAUAACUUUAUCUAUUUCCACGAGCUGAGUCGAGAGGACACCCUGAAGCAGAUCGAACAAGCCCUGCUUGUCCAGUACAAAAAUUCAAAGCCGCAACCUCAGGACAUGUUUUGGUACGCCGGACAGCUGUGCAUUGCGCAAUAUCACUCGAAUGGGCUUUGGUAUCGUGGAAAAAUCAUCAAGGUGACGAGUGAUAGCACCUAUCAAGUCCAGUUCGUUGACUAUGGGAACGUAGAGGAUGUCAAAGCAAGCGAGUUGCGGAAGCGAGUGUUUUAACAGAAGUCCCAACGUUCUGCCAUGUCCUCGCUUUGCACAAUGUGAGAGCAGUGUCUGAAGACGGGAGAUGGCAGACAAACGUCCUCGACUUGUCCACGCCAAUGUUGUCGAGAAAGUAUGCCGAGUAAAGCUUCAAUAUCCAGAAAAGGAUGGGGCACCUUUUCUUGCACUAUCUUCGCCCCGCCUGGAGGCAUUGAACUGGUUGAUAUUCUUGUUGGCUUGGGUUAUGCUAUCCGAGGAGGUGUCUCUGAAGAGGAAAGCUCCACCAUCUCAGAAGACUCGGAUGAUGAUGUUGUCGUUGUUUCAUCCCAAAACAAAGAAUCUGAUGAAGAAAUGAGGCUGGUCUAGAGGUAAACCCACCAGAAUUUUGUUACGUUUAUUCUGACUGUGCUCCAUUUGACUUCAACUUCUCAAGUUGAAAGCAAUAUCAGGGAGUCCAGUGAUUGAGAAUUUUAGUAACAAAUGUAGAAUGAGGUGGACUAGAGAAAAAAGUGAGAAAACCAGAGAAUUUAAGACCUGUACUAGGAAUUCGUUUUUGAAAUGUUGCAUGAUGCAUGUGGUUGCGACUAAGAGUACAAGUAACUGAUAGGUGGUAUCAUGGCAAGUUUGCACAGUAUUGUCAAGCAGAUGAUCAGCAGAAGUAACUAAAUUGUUGCAAAUUGCUAGUUGCCAGAUGGAAGAAAUGACAUGCUUUUUAUCUUCUCCCGCCUUUUUUUGGUAUUGUUUUUUACCUUAAAUUUUUUAGGUUACCUCAAUCUUAGGUUGCUUUGGUGUCCAUCAGCUUGUUUUAGAAUUUCUCUCCUUUCUUUUUUAACAAGCAUUAAAAUCAGAAAAAAGCAAUCGUAUAAUUGAAGAAAUGGAAUACUUAGUUUCCAGAGGGUAUACUUCUAUUUGAGCCAUUAGUCUUAGCUGAACUGAGUUUCAAUCACUGAAAUUUCAGCCAUUUCCUCCUAGAGCCGGUCACCUCAAGAGUUUUCAGAUUAUUAAUUACUGUAACAGCUAAGUGGCAGUUAUCUUUGACUUCUUCAGCAUUAAUGACCCCAAUUAAAGGACCUAGCCAGAAGUCGUAAGAUUCUUAUUUUAUCUUGCUUUUUUAUCAAUUUAGUGUAAUUUCUUUAUUUGAAUACCACAAUCAAGUUUGUUAGAGGAACUUGAUGCAGCAAUCAAUUAAGUGAAAACAUUAAAUAGAGACCAAUCCUCAAUUUUGAUUUUCCCUAUCUUGUUUAAUGCUGAUAGCUUGGAGUAGCUCUUUUCUGUUCAAUUCACCAAUUGUUCAGUUUUAAAUUCAUUAGGUUUUGAAGGUCGUAUUGACGGUGACAUUCUACUUCACUCGAAACAGACUGUCAAUACUGUCUGAUUAACUGUUCUUAUUUUUACAGAAUCUUCUCUCUCCACCCAGUGAAUCAAUUGACAAUAUUGUCGCUUCCAUCAUGAAGCCAAGAGAGAUAGACCUCCGAAGUCUCUCUCCGUUCCAGCAAGUCAGAUGGUGCUUCGAACAAGUCCAGAAAUUCUUUGGUAGACUUCACUUCAUCCCCCCCUGAUUCGCGAAUUCUAGAUAUCCCGAGAGACCCUUCAGUUGUGUCAGAACUAUCCAUUGAGUCUGUUAUAGCAGAAUCUAGUAUUUUUGCUGAAAGUUUGUCCCUUUCCGUCCUAGAUAUGAAGGAACAUCAAAAGUAAGUCUAUUUUUCCCCUCUUUUUCAUGGCACUUAUAUUUCAGUAAAAAUUGAAAUUGAAUUUAGAAACUGAGAUCCUCUUCUAAAUCAUUUAGUUUAAUUCAAUCAUUUAAUUUAGUUUCAAGAACCUCCUUUUCUCCUGCAAAAUGCAUCAGUUUGGAAAGGAAUCAAUGAAUCUCCUACCUCCAUUAAGAGUAUGGAUUAGAGAUUGGAUUUUGUCGUUAUUUAUUCCUGCUUUUGCUGUUAUUUUUCACCAUUUUCGAUGUUAUUUUUGCUGAUUUCGACAGCUGAUUUUUGCAGCGCUUUUUGCAUUUAACAUCUUUAAAUAAAGCUUUUAAUUUGAUUUAAUGAGCCAUCGCUCAGUCUCUCUAGUUCUAUUUUAAAGAAGCACUGACGCUGUAGCCAAUGACAAUCAAUGCUCAAGAGCGACUCUGUAAUUUCUUUAUUUAAAAAAAGAAGCGUGGCAAAUUUCGUCUUACACGCCAUGUAUACGUAAAUUUCACGAAAAUGUACGGAUUUUGCCGAUUUUGCGGUGAAUUUCGUGGAUUCCGAGCAAUUUCGCGUUUAUUCCGGAAAAUGGCCGAUUUUGCGUUAUUUCGCUUUAUAUUUUCGUGAUCAGGUAGUUAUAAUAGGUGCUUCUAUCUGAUUUUCAGAUUCCUAAGCACAUUUUAAAAAUUUCGUGGCAGCAAAAUUUUCCAAUCUCUAAAGAUAACUUUAAAUACUAAACCCAGACAAUUAAAUAAUGAAGCACUGAGUUUAAAAUGGAAUACUUUUUGCAUGUACAGUAAAAGUGGGAUAAAUGGUACCCAGAUAAGUUGGUGACCCAC
rnacentral:lncRNA from 1 species